rnacentral:tRNA from 1 species
UGGCUCAAUGGUAGAGCGUUCGACUUAAAUACCAAAGACGGUGGGUUCGAAUCCCAG